rnacentral:rRNA from 1 species
AUUAUGAAAAGCAAAAAAUUAUGGGCGGUAUUUUAAGCUUUUCAGAGGAAUUUGCUCUUUAAUGGAUAAAACACCAAAAUCUUACUUAAAUUUGUUACUUCAAUUUGUAUACCACUAUAAAAACAAUUUAUAACUUUAAUUGUUUAAAUUUAUUAAAUUAAAAUAUAUUAAGUCAAGGUGCAGUAAAAAUUUAAGAAUGAAGUGAAUUACAUUACUUUUUAGUGAAAAAAAAAAUUAUAAUAACACUUAGGAUUUGAAAGUAAAUUUGAAAUAGGAUGUCAAUUUGAAUCAAGCUCUAAAAUAUGUACACAUCGCC